CAGUGGCAGAUUCACAGGGGCAACAAGAUCAGCCCAGUGCCUAUCAACCAAGUGAUUGUGGCUCAACCUCUUGCCCAGUCUAGAAAAAGGAAGCCAAUCAUUUGUCAAGUUGAAUGACACAAGACUUCCACAUGUUAGUGACGCUGACGUCAAUGAGGUACAGGAUCUUAAGGAUACCCCACUGCAGUAUGUGCUACAGACAGAAACACCCCGGUGACUGUAAACACUCUGCUCGGAGACGUCCAGCUUGGGAUCAGUCUUGUCAUAUCAGACUGAAAAUCACCUGCAGUAUCAACUACGUCCGCCCCCAUCAAGUUUUCGAAAGUGUCACCUGUACAACUCGCUCCUGGGUAUGAAGAUCUUAAUGCCCAGUAUCAACUUACAGAUCCUGGAA